rnacentral:sRNA from 1 species
AGAAGCUUCGACCAAGGUUCGACUCGAGCGUCAGCGAGAGAGCGUCAGCGAGAGAGCGUUGCCGCAGGCAACGACCCGAAGGGCGAAGCGCGCAGCGCUGAGUAAUCCUUCCCCCACCACCA